AUCCCUUCUGGGACAUAUGAUGAAACUGAAAUGAUACAGAGAAAAAUAACAUGAUCCUAGCGCAAAGAUGACACCAAAUUGAGAAAUGGUCCAAAAAAAU